rnacentral:rRNA from 1 species
GACGAACGCUGGCGGCGUGCUUAACACAUGCAAGUCGAACGGAAAGGCCCUGCUUUUGUGCGGUGCUCGAGUGGCGAACGGGUGAGUAACACGUGAGUAACCUGCCCUUGACUUUGGGAGAACUUCAGGAAACUGGGGCUAAUACCGGAUAGGAUCUCCUGCUGCAGGGUGGGGGUUGGAAAGUUUCGGCGGUUGGGGGUGGACUCGCGGCUUAUGAGCUUGUUGGUGGGGUAGUGUCUUACCAAGGCCUUGCAGGGUAGCCGGGCUGGGCGGGUGACCGGCCACAUUGGGCCUGGGCUACGGCCCGGCCUCCUCCGCGACGCAGCGGUGGAGAAUAUUGCACAAGGGGCGGAAGCCUGAUGCGGCCACGCAGCGUGCGGGAUGACGGCCUGCGGGUUGUAAACCGCUUCCGCCUGUGACGAAGCGUGAGUGACGGUACCGGGUAAAGAAGCACCGGCUAACUACGUG